GCGAACCGGGGGAACUGAAACAUCUAAGUACCCCGAGGAAAAGAAAUCAACCGAGAUUCCCCCAGUAGCGGCGAGCGAACGGGGAGCAGCCCAGAGCCUGAAUCAGUGUGUGUGUUAGUGGAAGCGUCUGGAAAGGCGCGCGAUACAGGGUGACAGCCCCGUACACAAAAAUGCACAUGCUGUGAGCUCGAUGAGUAGGGCGGGACACGUGGUAUCCUGUCUGAAUAUGGGGGGACCAUCCUCCAAGGCUAAAUACUCCUGACUGACCGAUAGUGAACCAGUACCGUGAGGGAAAGGCGAAAAGAACCCCGGCGAGGGGAGUGAAAAAGAACCUGAAACCGUGUACGUACAAGCAGUGGGAGCACGCUUAGGCGUGUGACUGCGUACCUUUUGUAUAAUGGGUCAGCGACUUAUAUUCUGUAGCAAGGUUAACCGAAUAGGGGAGCCGAAGGGAAACCGAGUCUUAACUGGGCGUUAAGUUGCAGGGUAUAGACCCGAAACCCGGUGAUCUAGCCAUGGGCAGGUUGAAGGUUGGGUAACACUAACUGGAGGACCGAACCGACUAAUGUUGAAAAAUUAGCGGAUGACUUGUGGCUGGGGGUGAAAGGCCAAUCAAACCGGGAGAUAGCUGGUUCUCCCCGAAAGCUAUUUAGGUAGCGCCUCGUGAAUUCAUCUCCGGGGGUAGAGCACUGUUUCGGCAAGGGGGUCAUCCCGACUUACCAACCCGAUGCAAACUGCGAAUACCGGAGAAUGUUAUCACGGGAGACACACGGCGGGUGCUAACGUCCGUCGUGAAGAGGGAAACAACCCAGACCGCCAGCUAAGGUCCCAAAGUCAUGGUUAAGUGGGAAACGAUGUGGGAAGGCCCAGACAGCCAGGAUGUUGGCUUAGAAGCAGCCAUCAUUUAAAGAAAGCGUAAUAGCUCACUGGUCGAGUCGGCCUGCGCGGAAGAUGUAACGGGGCUAAACCAUGCACCGAAGCUGCGGCAGCGACGCUGAUGCGUUGUUGGGUAGGGGAGCGUUCUGUAAGCCUGUGAAGGUGUGCUGUGAGGCAUGCUGGAGGUAUCAGAAGUGCGAAUGCUGACAUAAGUAACGAUAAAGCGGGUGAAAAGCCCGCUCGCCGGAAGACCAAGGGUUCCUGUCCAACGUUAAUCGGGGCAGGGUGAGUCGACCCCUAAGGCGAGGCCGAAAGGCGUAGUCGAUGGGAAACAGGUUAAUAUUCCUGUACUUGGUGUUACUGCGAAGGGGGGACGGAGAAGGCUAUGUUGGCCGGGCGACGGUUGUCCCGGUUUAAGCGUGUAGGCUGGUUUUCCAGGCAAAUCCGGAAAAUCAAGGCUGAGGCGUGAUGACGAGGCACUACGGUGCUGAAGCAACAAAUGCCCUGCUUCCAGGAAAAGCCUCUAAGCAUCAGGUAACAUCAAAUCGUACCCCAAACCGACACAGGUGGUCAGGUAGAGAAUACCAAGGCGCUUGAGAGAACUCGGGUGAAGGAACUAGGCAAAAUGGUGCCGUAACUUCGGGAGAAGG
rnacentral:rRNA from 1 species